rnacentral:rRNA from 1 species
UACCCGCGGCCCGAGUGGUGCUCAUUAUUAUUGAGCCUAAAGCGUCCGUAGCUGGCCGGGCAAAUCUCCGGGUAAAUCGGGCAGCUCAACUGUCCGAAUUCCGGAGACACUGCUCGGCUUGGGAUCGGGAGAGGGUGAAGGUACUCCCUGGGUAGGGGUAAAAUCCUGUAAUCCGGGGGGGACCACCAGUGGCGAAGGCGUUCACCUAGAACGAAUCCGACAGUGAGGGACGAAGCCCUAGGGCGCAAACGGG